UUACCUACGGGGGGCUGCAGUGAGGAAUAUUGGUCAAUGGGCGCAAGCCUGAACCAGCCAUGCCGCGUGAAGGAUGAAGGCCCUAUGGGUCGUAAACUUCUUUUGUACGGGACGAAACCCCAGAACGUGUUCUGGGCUGACGGUACUGUACGAAUAAGCAUCGGCUAACUCCGUGCCAGCAGCCGCGGUAAUACGGAGGAUGCAAGCGUUGUCCGGAUUCAUUGGGUUUAAAGGGUGCGUAGGCGGGAUAUUAAGUCAGUGGUGAAAGCCUACAGCUUAACUGUAGAAUGGCCAUUGAUACUGAUAUUCUUGAGUACAGUUGAGGUAGCUGGAAUGUGUGGUGUAGCGGUGAAAUGCUUAGAUAUCACACAGAACACCGAUUGCGAAGGCAGGUUACUAAGCUGUAACUGACGCUGAGGCACGAAAGCGUGGGGAGCAAACAGGAUUAGAUACCCUUGUAGUCCCC
rnacentral:rRNA from 1 species